rnacentral:rRNA from 1 species
GUAUAUUAAAGGGCCGCGGUAUUUUGACCGUGCAAAGGUAGCAUAGUCGUUAGGUUUUUAAUUGAGAUCUUGUAUGAAAGGUUCGACAAGGAAGGUUCUGUCUCUAUAUUUAAUAAUUGAAAUUGACUUUUAAGUGAAAAGGCUUAAAUGAUUUAAAAAGACGAUAAGACCCUAUAAAACAUUAUGUUGGGGCGAUAUAAAUAAAAUGGGUAACUGUUUUAGAGUAAAACACAUAUAGAUGGAAUGAUCCUAGUUAGAGAUUAAAAGUUUAAGUUACUUUAGGGAUAACAGCGUUAUUUUUUUUGAGAGUUCUUAUCGAAAAAAAAGUUUGCGACCUCGAUGUUGAAUUAAAGUGUCUGUAUAAUUGUAGGAGUUAUAUUAGAAGGUCUGUUCGACCUUUAAAUCUUU